UACGGAGGGUGCAAGCAUUAAUCGGAUUUAUUGGGCGUAAAGGGCGCGUAGGCGGAUAGGGAAGUCAGAUGUGAAAUCCCGAGGCUCAACCUCGGAACGGCAUUUGAAACUCCCUACCUAGAGGGUAGAAGGAGAAAACGGAAUUCCACAAGUAGCGGUGAAAUGCGUAGAUAUGUGGAAGAACACCGGUGGCGAAGGCGGUUACCUGGCCAGAUACUGACACUGAGGAACGAAAGCGUGGGGAGCAAACAGG
rnacentral:rRNA from 1 species